rnacentral:rRNA from 1 species
UUGACCUCGGAUCAGGUAGGGAUACCCGCUGAACUUAAGCAUAUCAAAACGGGG